AGCGAACGCUGGCGGCAGGCUUAACACAUGCAAGUCGAACGGAUCCUUCGGGAUUAGUGGCGGACGGGUGAGUAACACGUGGGAACGUGCCUUUUGGUUCGGAACAACACAGGGGAAACUUGUGCUAAUACCGAAUGUGCCCUUCGGGGGAAAGAUUUAUCGCCAUUAGAGCGGCCCGCGUCUGAUUAGCUAGUUGGUGAGGUAAAGGCUCACCAAGGCUACGAUCAGUAGCUGGUCUGAGAGGAUGAUCAGCCACACUGGGACUGAGACACGGCCCAGACUCCUACGGGAGGCAGCAGUGGGGAAUCUUGCGCAAUGGGGGAAACCCUGACGCAGCCAUGCCGCGUGAAUGAUGAAGGUCUUAGGAUUGUAAAAUUCUUUCAGCGGGGACGAUAAUGACGGUACCCGCAGAAGAAGCUCCGGCUAACUUCGUGCCAGCAGCCGCGGUAAU
rnacentral:rRNA from 1 species